GUGCUUGCUUCGGCAGCACAUUUACUAAAAUUGGAACGAUACAGAAAAGAUUAGCAUGGCCCCUGAGCAAGGAUGACACAGAAGUUUGUGAAGCAUUCCAUAAUUUU